GCCUGGGUGGCUCAGUCAGUUGAGCGGCUGACUUCUGCUCAGGUCAUGAUCUCGCCGUCCGUGAGUUUGAGUCCCUCAUCGGGCU
rnacentral:tRNA from 1 species